rnacentral:lncRNA from 1 species
UUUGGAUUUGGGAAUUUUAUUUAAUCGAAAUUGACCUUCUGUCCUCGUCUUCUAAAUAUUAUUAUAAAAAAAUUGAAAAUGAGAAUGGGUAUUAUUUAUAGAAAUAAUUUAGAUUUAAUCCGAUUUAAUUUUAAAUAAAUUAUAUGUAAUACUUUCUUCUUCCGGUUAUAGAUUAUGGCAUUGUUAUUUGGGCUUCUGCUGCCCCCUCUUAUUUAAGACAGGUUAAUAAUGUUUUUGAAAAGAUUCGGCUUUCUGUCACCGUAUAAUCUUACAACGUUUAAUGGACGCGUUUUAUAUUUUGACUUAAAAUAUUUAGAACUUUAUUUGAAUAGAUGUUUCGACCAAUUAGAUUUAAUGUUAAAAGUUCCUUUUUUUAAAACGAGAUCUAUUUUUUUUCUCGAUAUUAGUUUUAAACGAUUAAAUGUUUCUAUAA